ACGAAGGUCCCGAGCGUUGUUCGGAAUCACUGGGCGUAAAGCGUAUGUAGGCGGCGGGGUAAGUCAGAUGUGAAAGCCCGGGGCUCAACCCCGGAACUGCAUCCGAUACUGCCCUGCUUGAGUGAUGGAGGGGAGUCUGGAAUUCACGGUGUAGCAGUGAAAUGCGUGGAUAUCGUGAGGAACACUAGUGGCGAAGGCGAGACUCUGGACAUCUACUGACGCUGAGAUACGAAGGCCAGGGUAGCGAAAGGG
rnacentral:rRNA from 1 species